AACGAACGCUGGCGGCGUGCCUAAUACAUGCAAGUCGAGCGCCGGCAGUCAUCCGAACCCUUCGGGGGGACGUUGACGGAAUGAGCGGCGGACGGGUGAGUAACACGUACAGAACCUUCCCUCAGGUCUGGGAUAACCACGCGCAAUCAGCGCUAAUACCGGAUGGGUCAUCGCACCGCAUGGUCCGAGGUUGCACGACGCUCCGACGUCGCCUGGGGAUGGCUUUGCGGUGCAUUAGCUAGUUGGUGGGGUAAUGGCCCACCAAGGCGACGAUGCAUAGCCGACCUGAGAGGGUGAUCGGCCACACUGGGACUGAGACACGGCCCAGACUCCUACGGGAGGCAGCAGUAGGGAAUAUUCGACAAUGGACGAAAGCCUGAUGGAGCAACGCCGCGUGAACGAUGAAGGCCUUCGGGUCGUAAAGUUCUGUUGUAAGGGAAGAACAAGUGCAGCAGGAAAUGGCGGCAUCUUGACGGUACCUUGCGAGAAAGCCACGGCUAACUACGUG
rnacentral:rRNA from 1 species